AUUGAACGCUGGCGGCAGGCUUAACACAUGCAAGUCGAGCGGAGAUGAGGUGCUUGCACCUUAUCUUAGCGGCGGACGGGUGAGUAAUGCUUAGGAAUCUGCCUAUUAGUGGGGGACAACAUUCCGAAAGGAAUGCUAAUACCGCAUACGUCCUACGGGAGAAAGCAGGGGAUCUUCGGACCUUGCGCUAAUAGAUGAGCCUAAGUCGGAUUAGCUAGUUGGUGGGGUAAAGGCCUACCAAGGCGACGAUCUGUAGCGGGUCUGAGAGGAUGAUCCGCCACACUGGGACUGAGACACGGCCCAGACUCCUACGGGAGGCAGCAGUGGGGAAUAUUGGACAAUGGGGGAACCCUGAUCCAGCCAUGCCGCGUGUGUGAAGAAGGCCUUAUGGUUGUAAAGCACUUUAAGCGAGGAGGAGGCUACUGAGACUAAUACUCUUGGAUAGUGGACGUUACUCGCAGAAUAAGCACCGGCUAACUCUGUGCCAGCCGCCGCAGUAACAC
rnacentral:rRNA from 1 species